rnacentral:lncRNA from 1 species
UAAAGAAGGCUCGUAAGGCUCUCAGUCAAAAUAAAAUUUGAUAGCAAGGUACAUGCACAUAGUGAGCUUCUCCUUGACAUUAACUUCUUGUUACCCUCUUUUCCUCCCCUUCAACUCCCUUUUUGGCCAAUCCUCCCCUUCAACUUUUAGAAAGAAGGGAUUAAAGAAAGAAAAAGGGACAAUUGCAACAAAAUGCCAAUUUCAAGCAUUAUCAUUUUAAUUACACUGACCCAGAGUUAAUCCCUCCUGAAUUAAGAACAUCAAACCUAUC